CCUACGGGCGGCAGCAGUGGGGAAUAUUGCACAAUGGGGGAAACCCUGAUGCAGCGACGCCGCGUGAGUGAAGAAGUAUUUCGGUACGUAAAGCUCUAUCAGCAGGGAAGAAAACGACGGUACUUGACUAAGAAGCCCCGGCUAACUACGUGCCAGCAGCCGCGGUAAUACGUCGGGGGCAAGCGUUAUCCGGAUUUACUGGGGGUAAAGGGAGCGUAGACGGCAGCGCAAGUCUGGAGUGAAAUCCCAUGGCUUAACCAUGGAACUGCUUUGGAAACUGUGCAGCUAGAGUGCAGGAGAGGUAAGCGGAAUUCCUAGUGUAGCGGUGAAAUGCGUAGAGAUUAGGAGGAACACCAGUGGCGAAGGCGGCUUACUGGACUGUAACUGACGUUGAGGCGCGAAAGCGUGGGGAGCAAACAGGAUUAGAUACCCGAGUAGUC
rnacentral:rRNA from 1 species